rnacentral:rRNA from 1 species
UACGGGAGGCAGCAGUGGGGAAUAUUGGACAAUGGACGCAAGUCUGAUCCAGCAAUGCCGCGUGAGUGGUGAAGGCCUUAGGGUUGUAAAGCUCUUUUACCAGGGAUGAUAAUGACAGUACCUGGAGAAGAAGCUCCGGCUAACUCCGUGCCAGCAGCCACGGUAAUACGGAGGGAGCUAGCGUUGUUCGGAAUUACUGGGCGUAAAGCGCACGUAAGCUGUUACUCAUGUCACAUGUGAAAGCCCGGGGCUCAACCCCAGAACUGCCUUUGAAACUAGGUAACUAAAAUCCUGGAGAGGUGAGUGGAAUUCCGAGUGUAGAAGUGAAAUUCAUAUAUAUUCGGAAGAACACCAUUGGCGAAGGCGGCUCAGUGGACAGGUAUUGACGCUAACGUGCUAAAACGUGGGGAGCAAACAUGAUUAAAUACCCUGGUAGUCCACGCCAUAAACUAUGAUGACUAUCUGUCCGGGUUCAUAGAAUUUGGGUGGCGCAGCUAACGUAUUAAUUUAUCCGCCUGGGGAGCACGGUCGCAAGAUUAAAGCUCAAAGGAAUUGAC